UCCAAAACCACGGCACCACAAUACUUCCUCAUCAUCUCAUAUUACAAACCGCGGCACCUUAUCUGCCAUUCAUCUCCAUUUCCUCUCCAUUGUUACCUCAGCCCAAACCACAACAACAUUUCCUCACCUUGUAAUCAUCGACCAAGAGAGAGAGAGAGAGAGAGAGCUGCACUCUGCAAGCCGAGAGUGAGAGUGAGGGAGAGCCGAGCUUCUUGUUUCUUUUCUUUCCGUCCGUAAGCUAGAGAGGGAGGAGAGGGACUUGCGAUUCAUUCUGUCUUCUAACCGUGAGCUGGUGAAGGGACUAAGGGCUGAACUUUCUCCAUUCCAGCCGCAACCCAGAGCAAGGGAGAGAGAGAGCUAGUGGUCUGCAUUUUCUGGGCUGCCGAAGGGAGGAGGAUUAUUUCUGCUGCUAACCGUGUGUGUGAGCUCCAUUUGAGGUUCUGACAACUGAGGAAGACUUGAGAUCUACUUGUACUUUAAGCAUGUAGCUUGAAUUAAACAAUGUAGCUGUCUCAAAUGUGCUCGGAAGUAGUACUAGAUUGUUUACUUUCAUGAAUGUAAUUCGAGUUAAACAUUGUAGUUUUGCCUUAGGUUGCCACUUGAAGUUGGAAAAGUGUAAACCCUGGAUUUGUAUGUGGCUGGUAUAAAUUUGUUACUUGGCUUGUAUGGAUGUAUUUGAAUUGAUGUUUUGUUUCUUGGGGUGUAUUCGGGAAGGUAUUUUAAGAAUCGACGUUGGCUAUCUUAAGGCACUGUUAUCUCUGAAGUUAAUGUGAUUCUAGAAACCGGCCUAUUUGGAG